rnacentral:rRNA from 1 species
CGCGUAGGCGGUUUGUUAAGUCGGAUGUGAAAGCCCCGGGCUCAACCUGGGAACUGCAUUCGAUACUGGCAAGCUAGAGUAUGGUAGAGGGAAGUGGAAUUCCGGGUGUAGCGGUGAAAUGCGUAGAUAUCCGGAGGAACAUCAGUGGCGAAGGCGGCUUCCUGGACCAAUACUGACGCUGAGGUGCGAAAGCGUGGGGAGCAAACA